CAGCUCUCCGAGUGGUAGGGAUGAUUAUUGGGCUUAAAGCGUCCGUAGCCGGCUUAGCAAGUCUCCUGUUAAAUUCAGCGACUUAAUCGUUGAGCCGCGGGAGAUACUACUGGGCUAGGAGGCGGGAGAGGUCGACGGUACUUCCGGGGUAGGGGUGAAAUCCUAUAAUCCCGGGAGGACCACCAGUGGCGAAGGCUGUCGACUAGAACGCGCUCGACGGUGAGGGACGAAAGCUGGGGGAACGAACCGGAUUAGAUACCCGAGUAGUCC
rnacentral:rRNA from 1 species